rnacentral:tRNA from 1 species
GGUUGUGGCUCAGUGGUAGAGCGCUCGUCUAGCACAUACAUAGACCCUGGGUUUGAUUCUCAGCACCA